rnacentral:lncRNA from 1 species
CACCUGCCAACAAAAGCACAUUCAAACAAAGGCUAGAUAUAUGAAAUAGAAAGCUUCUGGUUUUGUAGUUCCUCUAUCGAACUCUACUCUCCUAACUAACUUUUCAUCAUCAUAUCGGAGCUACUGUUUCAAUACGAAAGGAAGUGAUAAAAGAAAGAAACACAAACGAAGAAUCCACUUGAUCUCCGAAAGAUUGUACAAGUCACUCGAACAGUAUUUGAUAUCAUAGGAGCUGCGAAUCAGAUGGUAAUAAUAGCUGAUGACAAGAUCCAUCGAAAUCAAGCCAAUGCCCCCUCAUCCGGCAGAAAGGACAACAUCCACGCAUCAUGAGUCCUCGGUAUCUCGAUCGGAUCAGAGAACUGUUCUAAAAUGGUUACAAGGCGGCAAAGACCAUAGCGGAUUCGAUGAUUGACAAGAAACCAAAACGAAAUGGAGGAGCAGAGCUAGGAUUAGGCAUCCGAGAGCAAACCUGAGGACGAAGACGUUGGCCGACCUCCUUCUCGAAGUUGGCCUCCGUGAGGACGAAGACAUUGUCAUCGGCCACAGCCCAGGAGAGGAGCAGAGCUAGGAUUAGGCAUUCGAGAGCAAACCUGAGGACGAAGACGUUGGCCAACCUCCUUCUCGAAGUUGGCUUCCGUGAGGACGAAGACAUUGUCAUCGGCCACAGCCAAGGAGAGGAGCAGAGCUAGGAUUAGGCAUCCGAGAGCAAACCUGAGGACAAAGACGUUG